UGAUUACAAAACACUAUAUGUUGUGUGUAUAGGAAAAGGGAAGUUGGGUAUGAAUGCCCACGCGGUCCCGCCGCUGUAAAGGUGAGAAUUUGGCAAGAACCACUGGAGAAAUCUGGGAAGGAAGCCAAAUUUGAGGAACCUGAGCCAGAAGACCUCCCUAUGCAGACACGCCGUC
rnacentral:ncRNA from 2 species